rnacentral:rRNA from 1 species
AACAUCUAAGUACCCCGAGGAAAAGAAAUCAACCGAGAUUCCGAAAGUAGCGGCGAGCGAAAUUGGACUAGCCCUUAAGCUUUACACGCGUUAGACGAACGGUCUGGAAAGUCCGACGAUACAGGGUGAUAGUCCCGUAGUUGACGACGUGUGUUCAGUGAAAUCGAGUAGGGCGGGACACGUGAUAUCCUGUCUGAAUAUGGGGGGACCAUCCUCCAAGGCUAAAUACUACUGACUGACCGAUAGUGAACCAGUACCGUGAGGGAAAGGCGAAAAGAACCCCUGUGAGGGGAGUGAAAUAGAACCUGAAACCGUGUACGUACAAGCAGUAGGAGCAGGCUUGUCCUGUGACUGCGUACCUUUUGUAUAAUGGGUCAGCGACUUAUAUUCAGUGGCAAGGUUAACCAUCUAGGGGAGCCGUAGGGAAACCGAGUCUUAACUGGGCGUUCAGUCUCUGGAUAUAGACCCGAAACCAGGUGAUCUAGCCAUGGGCAGGUUGAAGGUUGAGUAACAUCAACUGGAGGACCGAACCGACUAAUGUUGAAAAAUUAGCGGAUGACUUGUGGCUAGGGGUGAAAGGCCAAUCAAACCUGGAGAUAGCUGGUUCUCCCCGAAAGCUAUUUAGGUAGCGCCUCGGACGAAUACUACUGGGGGUAGAGCACUGUUAAGGCUAGGGGGUCAUCCCGACUUACCAACCCUUUGCAAACUCCGAAUACCAGUAAGUACUAUCCGGGAGACACACGGCGGGUGCUAACGUCCGUCGUGGAGAGGGAAACAACCCAGACCGCCAGCUAAGGUCCCAAAUUACUACUAAGUGGGAAACGAUGUGGGAAGGCUCAGACAGCCAGGAUGUUGGCUUAGAAGCAGCCAUCAUUUAAAGAAAGCGUAAUAGCUCACUGGUCGAGUCGGCCUGCGCGGAAGAUGUAACGGGGCUAAGUAGUAAACCGAAGCUGCGGCAAUAUACUUUUGUAUAUUGGGUAGGGGAGCGUUCUGUAAGCGGUUGAAGGUGUGUGGUAACGCAUGCUGGACGUAUCAGAAGUGCGAAUGCUGACAUGAGUAACGAUAAAGGGGGUGAAAAACCUCCUCGCCGGAAGACCAAGGGUUCCUGUCCAACGUUAAUCGGGGCAGGGUAAGUCGACCCCUAAGGCGAGGCCGAAAGGCGUAGUCGAUGGGAAACGGGUUAAUAUUCCCGUACUUCUUACAAUUGCGAUGGGGGGACGGAGAAGGCUAGGUGGGCCUGGCGACGGUUGUCCAGGUUCAAGUGCGUAGGCUUAAGAGUUAGGUAAAUCCGGCUCUUUCUAAGGCUGAGACACGACGUCGAGCACCUACGGGUGUGAAGUCAUUGAUGCCAUGCUUCCAGGAAAAGCCUCUAAGCUUCAGAUUGUAAGGAAUCGUACCCCAAACCGACACAGGUGGUCGGGUAGAGAAUACCAAGGCGCUUGAGAGAACUCGGGUGAAGGAACUAGGCAAAAUGGUACCGUAACUUCGGGAGAAGGUACGCUCUCGACGGUGAAGUCCCUUGCGGAUGGAGCUAUUGAGAGUCGCAGAUACCAGGUGGCUGCAACUGUUUAUUAAAAACACAGCACUGUGCAAAAUCGUAAGAUGACGUAUACGGUGUGACGCCUGCCCGGUGCCGGAAGGUUAAUUGAUGG